rnacentral:rRNA from 1 species
UACGGGGGGGGCAAGCGUUGUUCGGAAUUACUGGGCGUAAAGGGCUCGUAGGUGGCCAACUCAGUCAGACGUGAAAAUCCCCUCGGCUUAACCGAGGAACUGCGUCUGAUACUGGAUGGCUUGAGGUUGGGAGAGGGAUGCGGAAUUCCAGGUGUAGCGGUGAAAUGCGUAGAUAUCUGGAGGAACACCGGUGGCGAAGGCGGCGAUCCUGGACCAAUUCUGACACUGAGGAGCGAAAGCCAGGGGAGCAAACGGG